GCCAUGGGGUAUCACGCAAUGCCUCUAUGAAAGGGCUAUAACAAGGCAGUCUUCAUGUUCUCACUUCAGAUGAUCUACUGUGUGGCCUGGGAAGGACUGGUUGGUACAGGUGUCUCGGAGCAGUGUGAACAGGAACCUGCACUAUGCCCCUUCAUAUUGCUUUGUCAUCGUGGGUUGGGUGGAGCCAUCAGGAUUCGUUUGGAGGCUCCUCCUCUGUGUCAUUGGACCAGGACUUUGUGAACACAGAUUCAAACAAUUCCAUUUUUCUUUCUUUGGACUGCCUGAAAAUUACUCAAUGCUUCAGCUAUUGUGUGGAAGAAGAGAGCAUGGUGAGGCCUACAUGUGUAAGAGCUUUCCCUGGUGCUGAAACCUUUUCAAAGCAUUCCUGUUGUAGGAGAACUUCAAACAAAGCAAGGCCCACAGGGCUCUCAUUUCUUUUGCCAAAGCCCCCUCUCUCUUUGACAGAUUUGCCUUUAGAGAUCAAUUUCUACUUUUUCCUAGGAAAUAGCAAGUUGUUCUAUUGCACCAAUCUACAACCACAAAGUUCAGAAGCACCUUCUCAAUGGGAGAUAGGAAGCCUUCACAUCAAUUGUCAUGUCAUGAGGUGGGAAGAACUGAAAGACCUCAGUAAAGGACUCUCCAGAAAAAAAAAGACCCAACACUGUGCCAUUUUGAGCUUUCUGAGCUCUCUUAUGUAUAGACAUGGCAAUUUGUUCAGAAUGACUGAAAUAGUAGCACAGAUACAUUUAGUGCUUAAUUGUUGGUGUGGGUUUAAGCAUAUGAGAUUUUUCUUGUGCCUUAGCCAUCAACCUGAUGGUUCAGCUAUUAGCACCAGGGCAUUUACUGGACUCCAUGGACUGGCAGAUUGAUAGCAUACCAUUAAAUUGAGGGUGUACAUCUAGGUCUAUCUGGCUCCAUAAAUCAUAGUGCAAUUUUGAAGAAAAUUAUGAAAAAAUGAAUAAAAACACCUGAAAUGGAA
rnacentral:lncRNA from 11 species